rnacentral:rRNA from 1 species
UGCAUGGUUGUCGUCAGCUCGUGUCGUGAGAUGUUGGGUUAAGUCCCGCAACGAGCGCAACCCUUGCCUUUAGUUGCCAGCACUUCGGGUGGCCUAUUGCAGAUGCUUUAGAUUUUCAAGCUGUUCUCUUCUAUGCUCCUGUUUUUCCAAUUGUUUUUUGUAGGGUAAAUUCAUCCAUAUUGUGCUUAUUAUGGUCAAGAUAAUGCUCUGUAUAGAUUAGAUUUUUUUCAAUAUUUUCUACUUCCCUCUUGUAAAAAUCAUCAUCUUUACCAUAUGCAAUAAGAUUUCUUAAAUGCUUAAUCUGUUCCUCCCUCUGUCUUUGAAGUUCAAGUACAUAUUUAAUCUCAUCUAAAUCAGUAAUAUUUGAAUGCUCUUCAAGAUGUCUCUCUGUUCUUGUAUGUUUUUCAACUAAAUCUAUAAGCUGAUCAAUCCUUCUUGCAUUAACUUCCUUCAAGCUGUCCUGUCCGUCACAUUCAUUAUGA